rnacentral:rRNA from 1 species
ACACGACUACAUUAGAUACCCGGGUAGUCCUAGCCGUAAACGAUACUCGCUAGGUGUCGGCCACGGUGCGACCGUUGUCGGUGCCGUAGGGAAGCCGUGAAGCGAGCCACCGUGGGAAGUACGGCCGCAAGGCUAGAAACUUAAAGGAAUUGGCGGGGAGCACAACAACGGGUGGAGCUUGCGGUUUAAUUGGAUUCAACGCCGGAAAUCUUACCGGGACCGACAGCAACAUGAAGGCCAAGCUGAAGACUUUGCCGGAUUAGCUG